rnacentral:rRNA from 1 species
GACGAACGUUGGCGGCGUGCUUAAUACAUGCAAGUCAACUGAAGCAGUGGUAGCAAUAUCGCUGUGGAGGUGGCGCACGGGUGAGUAACACGUAGGUAAUCUGCCUUCAGGUCUGGCAUAACUCCGGGAAACCGGGGCUAAUAGCAGAUGAUGCAGCGGCUCGACAUCGAGACAGUUGUUAAAGCUAUGGCGCCUGAAGAUGAGCCUGCGUCUGAUUAGCUAGUUGGCGGGGUAACGGCCCACCAAGGCAACGAUCAGUAGCUGGUCUGAGAGGAUGAUCAGCCACACUGGAACUGAGACACGGUCCAGACUCCUACGGGAGGCAGCAGUAAGGAAUAUUGCUCAAUGGGAGAAAUCCUGAAGCAGCAACGCCGCGUGAGGGACGAAGGGCUUUUGCUUGUAAACCUCUGUAGUGAGAGAAAAAAAUCCCAAUCUUUGGGACAUGAUGGUAUCUCAAAAGUAAACCCCGGCGAACUACGU